ensembl:processed_transcript A430057M04Rik RIKEN cDNA A430057M04 gene
ACAAGAAGCAGCAGUUUUGCCUUAGCUAGUCCUUACUCUGAGUACAGCGAGCACGCCUCCGGGACGUAGGAGCUGCAGACAGCGCUCGUAGUAGGCGGUACAGUUCUCUUUGUCCGCGUCCACCACGGCUAUGUCGAAGGUUCCGGCCUCGCCCGCCGCUAGGAGCUCAUCUUAACAGGGACAGAGGGCAUGUGCCGCUGGCUGAGCUAGGGUCUCAGCGGGCUGCUCAGGGUCGCCAGUUUUGUUCCCUGGGGUUGGACAGUGCUGUCUGGGUCCCUCCCGCACUGGUGCUCACCCAAUGUCUGCAGGGCGGGCUGCAGCCGAAGGUCGAUCUUCUGCUCCACUUCUGCCUGCGGAAGGAGGCCGGUCAGGCCGGCACGCCCCCGAGCCGGAGCCCGAACGGCCGCAGGUGUGGGGCUCUCACCUGCUUCCACAUGGGCCGUCCCAGCUUCGGGGGCUCUGCGUCAACCUCGCAGGUCACCACGCGGCCAGCCUCCGGAAGCGCCAAGGCUAGGGCCAGGGCCGAGUAGCCCGUGAAAGUACCUGUGGAAGGGGACACUGGCAAGCUCAGUUCAGGGUGCAGGGCUGCCCUGUGACCCUGGUUUCCAGAGACCAUGGCUGCGUGUUCCUACCCAGAUCCAGAGCUUUCUUGGCCUUAAUGAGCCGCGCCAGGUUGGCCAGAAGCUGGGCCUGUUCACAGGUCAUCAUGGAAUCCCCCUGCGGCUGCUCCAGGGUCAGCUGUGUGGGGAGAGGGAGGUGCCAUUCAUACCAGUCACCCCCCCCCCACCUCCCCCCCGAGGUUUUGAAUCAUUCAGGGGCUCGGUGGCGGGUGUGGCCUAGAGGGGACAGGUCUCAGGGAACCCGGAAGCCCAGAGAGGGUUUCUGCCUAGCUCAAGGUCACACAGCCACGUGAGGUCCACCACGCUGGAAGUGGGGAGCCGGUUCUCGGUCCCAGUCCUACUGACCAGUCGCAGGCUCCGCAGCGCCGGGUGCUCUCUCAUGGAGCGGCUCAGCAGAUACUGCCACAGGGGAUUGUCCUCAGGUGGCAGCAGGCGCUCUUGCCGCCUGGACCCCCAUGGAGGCCACCGUUUCCCUGCCGGGGAGAGGGUGCCGAGUCAGGGCCUGCAUUUCUGACCGGGUUCUCCGGCUCUUCUCCGCGCCCUCCUCCCAUUCCCCGGACUGCAGCAGCCCAGCCCAGCUCACCCAGCAAGAGACCAGUAGCGAAGGCGGCGCCCAGCGCGGCCGAGCCCAGGGCCAGUGCGGCUGGGAUAGAUAGCCGAGGGACGGGCUGAGCCAUGGUGCAGGUUAGCAGCGGCGGCGGAGGUCACGUGUGCUGGAGUAGCGAGGAUGGGACUGGGACCAGUAAGCCGACAGGGCUCCACCUUGUCCGGGCCCUGCCCACAGAGCCGCGUCCUCGGGCACCAUCUGGUGACACAUGGCCGUAUUGCAAGGUCAGGCUGAGAACAUCUCGCCACCCGGUGGCUGCAUGCGGAACUGCGUCGGGUGAAAUCCUUUCUAGACUUCGCUCACAGGAGACUCUGCUGACCUGCCCUCAGGGACCUAGCAAUUGCUUAAGGCAUCACCUGCCCCGCCCCCCACGUACGACAGGUAAGGCCCGAAGAAAUGUGAGUUCCUUUAGGGCUGAGCACACAGCAGGCACUAAAUACGUGCUGGCGGGGCCACACUGCGGCCAGUGAUAACAACGGGGCCACACUGCGGCCAGUGAUAACAACGUGACAACCGGAAGCUGUUACUUAGCACCUGCUGGGUACCAGGUGCUCAACACCCAGCCAUCCCGUGAAGCAGCGGUGUUGUUCCAAUUUUCAAGAGAAGGAAAGUCCUGAAUUGAUCAUCUCUCCGAGCUCACUGCCUAGCGCCUUGCCCUCCUAAAUUUCCACCGUCUUUAUCAGUACCUCCCUGGGACGCACACAGAGGGAAGAGGCAGCCGUGUCCCCGCUAGGCCUCUUCAGCGGGCUUGUGGCACCGAGUCCUUGUCCUUAGCCGGAGCCCUCUUCCCCAUAUCUGGGGACCGGGAUGGCUUGCAAGUUCUCAGUGCAUCUCACAGCCUUCCUCCUGCAACCUGGCUCCAGGCAGGAGCGGUGGAGGUGGGGGAAGCGGGCAAGGAGGGAGCCAUGUCACCAUAUAUCCCAGUCAGAUUAAAAAACUAAUUUG